rnacentral:rRNA from 1 species
GAUGAACGCUAGCGGGAGGCCUAACACAUGCAAGCCGAGCGGUAUUGUUUCUUCGGAAAUGAGAGAGCGGCGUACGGGUGCGUAACACGUGUGCAACCUGCCUUUAUCUGGGGGAUAGCCUUUCGAAAGGAAGAUUAAUACUCCAUAAUAUAUUGAACGGCAUCGUUUAAUAUUGAAAGCUCCGGCGGAUAGAGAUGGGCACGCGCAAGAUUAGCUAGUUGGUGAGGUAACGGCUCACCAAGGCGAUGAUCUUUAGGGGGCCUGAGAGUGUGAUCCCCCAAACUGGUACUGAGACACGGACCAGACUCCUACGGGAGGCAGCAGUGAGGAAUAUUGGUCAAUGGGUGCAAGCCUGAACCAGCCAUCCCGCGUGAAGGACGACUGCCCUAUGGGUUGUAAACUUCUUUUGUAUAGGGAUAAACCUACCCUCGUGAGGGUAGCUGAAGGUACUAUACGAAUAAGCACCGGCUAACUCCGUGCCAGCAGCCGCAGUAAUAC